ACGCCGCGUGAGUGAUGAAGGUUUUCGGAUCGUAAAGCUCUGUUGUUAGGGAAGAACAAGUGCCGUUCAAAUAGGGCGGCACCUUGACGGUACCUAACCAGAAAGCCACGGCUAACUACGUGCCAGCAGCCGCGGUAAUACGUAGGUGGCAAGCGUUGUCCGGAAUUAUUGGGCGUAAAGGGCUCGCAGGCGGUUUCUUAAGUCUGAUGUGAAAGCCCCCGGCUCAACCGGGGAGGGUCAUUGGAAACUGGGGAACUUGAGUGCAGAAGAGGAGAGUGGAAUUCCACGUGUAGCGGUGAAAUGCGUAGAGAUGUGGAGGAACACCAGUGGCGAAGGCGACUCUCUGGUCUGUAACUGACGCUGAGGAGCGAAAGCGUGGGGAGCGAACAGGAUUAGAUACCCUGGUAGUCCACGCCGUAAACGAUGAGUGCUAAGUGUUAGGGGGUUUCCGCCCCUUAGUGCUGCAGCUAACGCAUUAAGCACUCCGCCUGGGGAGUACGGUCGCAAGACUGAAACUCAAAGGAAUUGACGGGGGCCCGCACAAGCGGUGGAGCAUGUGGUUUAAUUCGAAGCAACGCGAAGAACCUUACCAGGUCUUGACAUCCUCUGACAAUCCUAGAGAUAGGACGUCCCCUUCGGGGGCAGAGUGACAGGUGGUGCAUGGUUGUCGUCAGCUCGUGUCGUGAGAUGUUGGGUUAAGUCCCGCAACGAGCGCAACCCUUGAUCUUAGUUGCCAGCAUUCAGUUGGGCAC
rnacentral:rRNA from 2 species